rnacentral:pre_miRNA from 1 species
AUCUUUGGUUGUCUAGCUCUAUGACAGUUAUUUGAAACCAUAAAGCUAGGUUAGCAAAGAU